AUUCCAUGAGAAUAAAAUAAACCUUUUCCAAGAUGUGUUUGCAGAGGGUUUGGUGGGCUGAACUUUGGCUCAUUGUGCUCUGGAUACUCUGCCCGCUUAGAGCUCCAUUUACAGGUGCCAGUGAAGCAGUGAGAUGUGAGAGAGUUCCUGCAGCAGCCUUAGGUGAAGAUGUGACCCUGAAAUGUAACUUUAUACCCUCUUUCGAUGUUUUACAAGUCACCUGGCAGAAGUUGGAAGGCUCUUCAUUCAAAAACAUAGCUACCUACAGCAAGGCACAUGGAACUAAAUCCAUAGGGCCUUUCAAUAAGAGAGUUUCUUUCAAUGAUACAAGUCUGAAAGCAUCAUCCAUCACUUUUCGUGGUGUGAUAUUGGAGGUUGAAACCUGUUAUAAGUGCAUCUUCAACGCAUUUCCACAUGGCUCCUUCAGCAGAGAAACUUGCCUCAUUGUACAUUCAAUUUCUCCAGUAAGAACUGAACUCCAUUCAAACACUAGCACCCCAGGGGUCCUGACUGCAGUCUGCUCAGCUACAGCAAAACCUGCCCCAGAAAUCACAUGGAAGCCUGAGGGCAUCCUGAUUGGCCAGCCUCAGAUACAUGGAGUUAAGAAUGCAAAUGGCACAGUAACCGUGACAAGCACAUGCAUCGUCUCUGUGAGGCUCCUGAGAUCGAAGAACUUCCAGGCUUUGACUUGUGUAAUAAAUCACCCUAUGGGAAGGAAAGAGGAGAUAAUUGACCCACUAGAAGAAUAUGAAGACCAAUGAGUAGCAGUACACCCUGCACUCGUGCAGAGAAAAAGAAUUUGAACCAAGAUGGAGGAGACAGACACCAGCACCAGUCAACACCUGAGAGCCACCAGAGUGUUUCCUAUCAAAAUGAGUGGCAAACCCCUGGAAGUUUUCAGCGCAAGAGAACCCCAUUUUCAAAAUCAAAGGAGAGUCAAAGAAAAACACUGGUACCCAGAGCAAUGUUUCCAGAAGAAAAAGAAGAGAAUGAGGAAGGCAAUCUGAAUCAUUCAUUUGUGGAAGGGAUUGAAGAGAUUGAUGACUCAGUUUUUAAAAAUUAGAGAGAAGGUAAACUUUCACUGCUGCAAAUGAAAAAAAGCAGAGAAACCAACAUCACUAACUCAGCAUUCAAACCAGUCCCAAAGAAGAAUUUUUUCAAAGCAUUUUGCAGUAGCUUGGAGAGAGGAGCGAUUUAUAACAUGACUUUGACACAAAAAGAGCUUAAAAAGGUGGGAGGGGAAAGAGAUGGUGGCUUAAUUUCCCCCUCCCCUCCAUUUAUGGUAUGUAAAAGGUAUGUGUCUCUUUCAGAGAGUCCAUUUGACGUGAGACUUUGAGACAGAAAAUGUGCAGGUGAACAAAACAAGGUCACAUGCCUUUACUUCUCACCAACCACCCCCUUCCCCACCCAAGGAAUAGCUGCAGCUAGAGCUGUGUGAAUAAUGGAUUUCUCGGUUUGCUAGCAAUUCCAAAAAAUUGAAAAAACAAUUAUUUGAGCUGAACUGACAAUUUUUCAGCAAAGCUAAGUUAUGUUUCAUUUUUGGUUCUAACGAAAUAUUUUGGCUGAGCACUUCAACAUUUAAUUUUUUAAAUCACAUUUAAAGUAAAUUUUGAAACAAGAAGUUUUUUCAAAUGGAGACAUCAGAAUAUUUCAGUUUUCAGAAACCAUUUUUUAACUUUUUUUCUCCAG